rnacentral:rRNA from 1 species
UACGUAGGGGGCAAGCGUUGUCCGGAUUUAUUGGGCGUAAAGAGCGUGUAGGCGGUUCGGUAGGUCCGUUGUGAAAACUCGAGGCUCAACCUCGAGACGCCGAUGGAAACCCCCGAACUAGAGUCCGGAAGAGGAGAGUGGAAUUCCUGGUGUAGCGGUGAAAUGCGCAGAUAUCAGGAAGAACACCCGUGGCUAAGGCGGCUCUCAAGUACGGUACUGACGCUGAGACGCGAAAGCGUGGGGAGCGAACAGG